GAAGCCCAGCUUGCUGGGUGGAUCAGUGGCGAACGGGUGAGUAACACGUGAGCAACCUGCCCCUGACUCUGGGAUAAGCGCUGGAAACGGCGUCUAAUACUGGAUAUGAGACGUGAUCGCAUGUUCGUGUUUGGAAAGAUUUUUCGGUCUGGGAUGGGCUCGCGGCCUAUCAGCUUGUUGGUGAGGUAAUGGCUCACCAAGGCGUCGACGGGUAGCCGGCCUGAGAGGGUGACCGGCCACACUGGGACUGAGACACGGCCCAGACUCCUACGGGAGGCAGCAGUGGGGAAUAUUGCACAAUGGGCGCAAGCCUGAUGCAGCAACGCCGCGUGAGGGAUGACGGCCUUCGGGUUGUAAACCUCUUUUAGCAGGGAAGAAGCGAAAGUGACGGUACCUGCAGAAAAAGCGCCGGCUAACUACGUGCCAGCAGCCGCGGUAAUACGUAGGGCGCAAGCGUUAUCCGGAAUUAUUGGGCGUAAAGAGCUCGUAGGCGGUUUGUCGCGUCUGCUGUGAAAUCCCGAGGCUCAACCUCGGGCCUGCAGUGGGUACGGGCAGACUAGAGUGCGGUAGGGGAGAUUGGAAUUCCUGGUGUAGCGGUGGAAUGCGCAGAUAUCAGGAGGAACACCGAUGGCGAAGGCAGAUCUCUGGGCCGUAACUGACGCUGAGGAGCGAAAGGGUGGGGAGCAAACAGGCUUAGAUACCCUGGUAGUCCACCCCGUAAACGUUGGGAACUAGUUGUGGGGUCCAUUCCACGGAUUCCGUGACGCAGCUAACGCAUUAAGUUCCCCGCCUGGGGAGUACGGCCGCAAGGCUAAAACUCAAAGGAAUUGACGGGGACCCGCACAAGCGGCGGAGCAUGCGGAUUAAUUCGAUGCAACGCGAAGAACCUUACCAAGGCUUGACAUAUACGAGAACGGGCCAGAAAUGGUCAACUCUUUGGACACUCGUAAACAGGUGGUGCAUGGUUGUCGUCAGCUCGUGUCGUGAGAUGUUGGGUUAAGUCCCGCAACGAGCGCAACCCUCGUUCUAUGUUGCCAGCACGUAAUGGUGGGAACUCAUGGGAUACUGCCGGGGUCAACUCGGAGGAAGGUGGGGAUGACGUCAAAUCAUCAUGCCCCUUAUGUCUUGGGCUUCACGCAUGCUACAAUGGCCGGUACAAAGGGCUGCAAUACCGUAAGGUGGAGCGAAUCCCAAAAAGCCGGUCCCAGUUCGGAUUGAGGUCUGCAACUCGACCUCAUGAAGUCGGAGUCGCUAGUAAUCGCAGAUCAGCAACGCUGCGGUGAAUACGUUCCCGGGUCUUGUACACACCGCCCGUCAAGUCAUGAAAGUCGGUAACACCUGAAGCCGGUGGCCCAACCCUUGUGGA
rnacentral:rRNA from 1 species